rnacentral:lncRNA from 12 species
GUCCAGGGGCCCCCCAGGGGCCUGAGGGAUGAGGCUGGCUCCAAGGCCCCCUCCUACCUCUGCAUCCCCAGCCACGCGGGCCCUGAAGCCAGGACCCUGAGUGACAGCCCAUUGACACAGGCCAGGGCCAUGUACAUAGGCAAGACUCUUCAGCGAUGGAAGGGAGGUUACAGCUCUCUGGCUGGCUCUCUGAGUAUCCGUACCUGGUUCUCUCCCUUCUCACAAGAUGGGCACAGGCAGCCCCUUUGCCCAGAGACCUGAGUGGGGUUCCUGGUACAUAUAUUUUUAUUAAAGCCCCUGUAUUGAUGCAGGCUCCUCAACUGCAAGAGACCCAACUCACAGUGGCUUGAGCAAAUGGAAGAGUGGUGGGCUCAUUGCCUGAGAAAGCCAGAGAUUCCUGGCUUCAGGCAUGGCUGGAUCUAGGUGGUCCAAAUGCGUCAUAGGAGUGUGAUGUCUUCCAUCUCUCAGUGCUUGUUUCUUUAUCUGCUACCAAUCUCUGUGCAGCAAAUUACCACAAAAUGUAUCGGCCUAAAACAGUAAACGUCUAAAACCUCACACAAUUUUUGUGGAUCAGGAAUUCAGAGGAGGUGUCAUGGUUUGAGGUCUCUUGUGAGGUUACGAUCAAGAUGUCAGUCAGCCUGUCCAUGUCAUCGGACGGGUGGAAUGGAGCUGGAAGGGCUGCCUCCGGGGUGGCACACACACCCUGGCGGCUGUGGGCAGCAGACAGCAGUUUCUUGCCACAUGGACCUCUCCAUUCGGCUGCUUGCGUGUCCUCACAACAUGGCCACGGGCUGAGUGAUCAAGGAGGAGGCUGCGAUGUCUUCUGGGACCCAGAAGUCACCCUUCCUCAUCUCUGCAGCCUUGUAUUGGUAACAGCAGUGGGCUUUCGCGAGGUGAGCGGGGAUUCCGUCCAGCACGGAUACCAGCAGGUGAGAAUCAUCAGGGGGCACAGGGGGCAUCUGGAAGGCUGGCGACCACGGCUUCUUUCCAGGUCUUGCAGAAGAGGCUGCAGCCCCAGCAGCACACAACUUCCCUGUGCCAUGCCCAUCGCCCACCUGAUGAUCGUGACUCCGACCAGCCAUGCCGAGCCAGCUUUUACAUGUUUUAAGUGAGGAGCGUUGAAGAUCAACACCGCGUGUAAGAUGUGGGCUGUCCUUCCAUAGGAAGCGUGUUUGAGCAGAGGCUGUGUGUUUCCCGAGUGAUCAUGCCUACAGCAAGGGAAGGACUGCAGGUGUCUCGGUGGGGGGGGAUGCUGAGGGGACUGGGGCUCACUGCUCCUGGAAUCCGCCCUCAACCAUGGGCCGAAUUGAAGGAUACAUACCCGGGCAUCUUCCAUCUCCAGAAUCAUGACCUCAGGCUCUGCACCGUCUCCCAGAACUACUUAGGGCCCGACGAUGGCUUGCACCAAUGCCACCUCACGGGCUCAUGCACUGUGUAGGGGCUGCCUUCCUUUCCUGGUCUCUGUUUGCUCCUUUCCCUGGUGUUUCUUGAGAUCAGCUUCUGAAUAAACCACUUGCAAGGAUGCA